rnacentral:piRNA from 1 species
GUCGGACACCGCGCCGGGCAGUGG